ensembl:lncRNA
GCAGUGGAAGUGCUGGUUCAAUACGCAGAAUGGGUGGUUUUAAAGAAAACAUGGACAUGUUGACAUAUGACAUACAUGCAUUGUCUCUCACUUGUGUACAAGGAAAUCAUUUCUUUGCCUCACAUAGCAGACUACUGUAUAUGGGCUGGGUUAAAAUGUGAUUUAACUUUGAAAGAAUAAGGUAAAAAUGCAAAAAAAGACAGUCUCUUGGCUUUUCAAGGUCGCUAUUAUUUUAUUUGUCAUCCAAGUAACAGCAACAGCAGCUGGUCUCUCAAAUGAAUCAUCUGACUAUUCCUGCCAAAUAGUCUUCACUAAAUCAACAGGCUCUUUAAGCGAUGACCAAAUUCCGUUUGAUACAUGGACAGUCUCAAAUGAUGCAAAGACUUCCACAUUUACAACACCUGUCACACCAAAGGCAACGUUAACAAUCAAGUCAAGUGAUGUCCCCACUGCCUCAAUUACAUCAAUGUUCACUUCAAGUGAUGUCAUAAUUCUCGCUACAACAUCAACAGUAAUAUCGAAUGAAGUCAUAACGCCCUCAGCACUCCAUAUUGUCCCUUCAACCGAUGCCAGUACUCUCUCAAAUACAUUGACCUCUCUCAAAUACAUUGAUGCCUCAACUACCAGUCAGAGCUCAAUGGGAGACAUCGUUUCUGCAUCAGCCCUCACAACAUCAACAGCUACUUCAACUGAUGCUCCCUCAAUUACCAUUGUUUUAAAUAAUGCCAAUACUCCUCAUAGUACACUCACAGUCCCUUCAAGUGAUGUCAACAAUCCCUCAACUACAUCAACAGCCACUUCAAACGAUGCCUUAAUGUCUUCUAUUUUUUCUACAGUCACUUUAAGUGAUUCUACUACUUUAUCUACUUCAAUGACAGGCUCUAUAAGUGACGUUCCAGCAAACACUUCAGUGAAAAACACUAUUGUCAGAUGUGUAUCAGGUGCUGUUGUAAAUGCCAUUAGGCUGGAAAAUGUUACUAGUCAGGUUAUCACUGCAAGUUGGAUGGGCAUCAACCUGAAUCAAGAAAUUCAGUACACAGUGAAGUUGGUGUCUUAUUCAUCCUCAAUCCAGAACGAGACCUCAGUCACCAAAGCUGUUUUCUUAGACCUUACUCCAGCAACCAUGUACACUCUCACUAUUGAGUACUUAUCCUGUGGCGUCAAGAAAAACAUUUCAAUAGACGUAGUCACAACUGGAAAAGUCUAUGAUUGUUCCACUCGAAUUCCAGGCGGAGAGUUUUUGUCUGAUUAUUUAAAUCAAUCCAGCAGCCUUUAUAAAGACUUUGUGACCAACUUCACCAUGCAGGUUGUAAAUAAUCUCCCAGAACAGUACCAAGACCUUAUCAAGACUCAACAAAUGAUGGUGGUUGUGAGAGCUGUUCGCAAUGGAAGUCUGAUUGUUGACUUUGAUCUAUUCGUUGCUUCGGUGGUCAACUUAUCAACCUCUGCCGUGCAGAUCAGUGUCAUCAAUGCCUUAAACAGAUCUGCACUCGGAGUAGAUCACAAUAGCACCUUUGUUAAAGAUGCAGAUCUUUGUCAAAGAGGAAAUUACGCAUGCUCACAAAAUGCCAGUUGUGUCACAGAGGGACCUUCAUAUUCAUGUAACUGUCAGGCGGGAUUCUAUGACAUAAACCCAGUGGUGCCUGGUACUGACUGCAUGAGCAUAUCAGUGGAUGCCACCACUACUGCAACAGCAUCAACAGUCUCACCAAGUGAUGCCACCACUGCCUCAAUUACAUCAACAGUCUCUCCAAGUGAUGCCACCACUGCCUCAAUUACAUCAACAGUCUCUCCAAGUGAUGCCACCACUGCCUUAACUACAUCAACAGUCUCUCCAAAGGAUGCCACCACUGACUCAACUACAUCAACAGUCUCGCCAAGUGAUGCCACCACUGCAUCAAUUACAUCAACAGUCUCCUCAAGUGAUGCCACCACUGCCAUAACUAGAUCAAAAGUCUCUCCAAGGGAUGCCACCACUGACUCAACUGCAUCAACAGUCUCUCCAAGUGAUGACUCCACUGCCUCAACUACAUCAACAGUCUCUCCAAGUGAUACCACCACUGACUCAACUACAUCAACAGUCUCUCCAAGUGAUGCCACCACUGCCUUAACUACAUCAACAGUCUCUCCAAAGGAUGCCACCACUGACUCAACUACACCAAUAGUCUUUCCAAGUGAUGCCACCACUGACUCAACUACAUCAACAGUCUCUCCAAGUGAUGACUCCACUGCCUCAACUACAUCAACAGUCUCUCCAAGUGUUGCCACCACUGACUCAACUACAUCAACAGUCUCUCCAAAGGAUUCCACCACUGACUCAACUGCAUCAACAGUCUCUCCAAGAGAUGCCACCACUGCCUCAACUACAUCAACAGGCUCUCCAAGUGAUGCCACCACUGACUCAACUACAUCAACAAUCUCUCCAAGUGAUGCCACCACUGACUCAACUGCAUCAACAGUCUCUCCAAGUGAUGCCACCACUGACUCAACAACAUCAACAGUUUCACCUAGUGAUGCCAACACUGCCUCAUUUACAUCAACAGUCUCUCCAAGUGAUACCACCACUGCCUUAACGAGAUCAACAGUCUCUCCAACGGAUGGCACCACUAAUUCAACUGCAUCAACAGUCUCUCCAAGUGAUGCCACCACUGCCUUAACUGCAUCAACAGUCUCUCCAAGAGAUGCCACCACUGCCUCAACUGCAUCAACAGUCUCUCCAAGUGUUGCCACCACUGACUCAACUACAUUGACAGUCUCUCCAAAGGAUGCCACCACUGACUCAACUGCAUCAACAGUCUCUCCAAGUGAUGCCACCACUGACUCAACUACAUCAACAGUCUCUCCAAGUGAUGCCACCACUGACUCAAUUACAUCAACAGUCUCUCCAAGUGAUGCCACCACUGACUCAACUACAUCAACAGUCUCUCCAAGUGAUGCCACAACUGCCUCAAUUACAUCAACUGUCUCUCCAAGGGAUGCCACCACUGCCUCAUCUACAUCAACAGUCUCUCUUAGUGAUGCAACCCCUGCCUUAACUACACCAACAAUCUCUUCAAGUGAUGCCACCACUGACUCAACUACACCAACAGUCUCGCUAAGUGAUGCCACCACUGCUUCAAGUACACCAACAGUCUCUUUAAGUGAUGCAACCACUGCCUUAACUACAUCAACAGUCUCUCCAAAGGAUGCCACCACUGACUCAACUGCAUCAACAGUCUCUCCAAAGGAUGCCACCACUGACUCAACUGCAUCAACAGUCUCUCCAAAGGAUGCCACCACUGCCUCAACUACAUCAACAGUCUCUCCAAGUGAUACCACCACUGACUCAACUACAUCAACAGUCUCUCCAAGUGAUCCCACCACUGACUCAACUACAUCAACAGUCUCACCUAGUGAUGCCACCACUGCCUCAUUUACAUCAACAGUCUCUCCUAGUGAUGCCACCACUGCCUCAUUUACAUCAACAGUCUCUCCUAGUGAUGCCACCACUGCCUCAAUCACAUCAACUGUCUCUCCAAGUGAUGCCACCACUGCUUCAACUACACCAACAGUCUCUCUAAGUGAUGCAACCACUGCCUUAACUACAUCAACAGUCUCUCCAAAGGAUGCCACCACUGACUCAACUGCAUCAACAGUCUCUCCAAAGGAUGCCACCACUGCCUCAACUGCAUCAACAGUCUCUCCAAAGGAUGCCACCACUGCCUCAACUACAUCAACAGUCUCUUCAAGUGAUGCCACCACUGCUUCAACUACAUCAACAGUUUAUCUAAGUGAUACAACCACUGCCUUAACUACAUCAACAGUCUCUCCAAGUGAUGCCACCACUGCCUUAACUUCAUCAACAGUCUCACCAAAGGAUGCCACCACCGACUCAACUACAUCAACAGUCUCUCCAAGUGAUGCCACAACUGCCUCAAUUACAUCAAAAGUCUCUCCAAGGGAUGCCACCACUGCCUCAACUACAUCAACAGUCUUUCUAAGUGAUGCAACCACUGCCUUAACUACACCAACAAUCUCUCCAAGUGAUGCCACCACUGACUCAACUACAUCACAAGUCUCGAUAAGUGAUGCCACCACUGCCUCAAUUACAUCAACUGUCUCUCCAAGUGAUGCCACCACUGCUUCAACUACAUCAACAGUCUCUCUAAGUGAUGCAACCACUGCCUUAACUACAUCAACAGUCUCUCCAAGUGAUGCCACCACUGCCUCAAUUACAUCAACAGUCUCUCCAAGUGAUGCCACCACUGCUUCAACUAUAUCAACAGACUCUCUAAGUGAUGCAACCACUGCCGUAACUACAUCCACAGUCUCUCCAAAGGAUGCCACCACUGACUCAACUGCAUCAACAGUCUCUCCAAAGGAUGCCACCACUGACUCAACUAAAUCAACAGUCUCUCUAAGUGAUGCCACCACUGACUCAACUACAUCAACAGUCUCUCCAAGUGAUGCCACCACUGCCCUAACUACAUCAACAGUCUCUCCAAAGGAUGCCACCACUGACUCAACUACACCAACAGUCUCUCCAAGUGAUGCCACAACUUACUCAACUACAUCAACAGUCUCUCCAAGUGAAGUCAUUAGUCCCUUUACCUCGUUGACGUUCACGUCAAGUGAUAACUCCACUACCCGUCAGAGCUCAAUGGGAGACAUUGUUUCUGCAUCAGCCCCCACAGCAUCAACAGCUACUUCGAGUGUUGCCAUCUCUUCCUUAACUCUUUCCACAGUCUCAUCAAGUGAUGUAACCCCUCCCUCAAAUAUAUUGCCGGUCUCUUCAGUUGAUGCCAGAACUUCCCCUGCUCUGUCUAGAGUCACUUCAACUGAUACCACCACUUCAGGUGAUGUCAUCACUUCCUCUAUGACAUUGACAGUCACUUCAAGUGAUGCCUCUAGAAGAAAUCAGACCUCAAUGGGAGAAACUCUUACUGCAACAGCUCCCACAAUAUCAACAGUCCCUUCAACUGAUGCUCCCUCAAAUACCGUUGUUUUAAAUGAUGCCAAAACUCCUCAUAGUACAAUCACAGUCCCUUCAAGUGAUGCCAACAAUCCCUCAACUACAUCAACAGCCACUUCAAACGAUGCCUUAAUGUCUUCUAUUCUUUCUACAGUCACUUUAAGUGAUUCUACUACUUUAUCUACUUCAAUGACAGGCUCUACAAAUGAUGUUCCAGCAAACACUUCAGUGAAAAACACUACUGUCAGAUGUGUAUCAAGUGCUGUUGUAAAUGCCAUUAGGCUGGAAAAUGUUACUAAUCAGGUUAUCACUGCAAGUUGGAUGGGCAUCAACCUGAAUCAAGAAAUUCAGUACACAGUGAAGUUGGUGUCUUAUUCAUCCUCAAUCCAGAACGAGACCUCAGUCACCAAAGCUGUUUUCUUAGACCUUACUCCAGCAACCAUGUACACUCUCACUAUUGAGUACUUAUCCUGUGGCGUCAAGAAAAACAUUUCAAUAGACGUAGUCACAACUGGAAAGGUCUAUGAAUGUUCCACUCGAAUUCCGAGUGGAGAGUUUUUCUCUGAUUAUUUAAAUCAAUCCAGCAGCCUUUAUAAAGACUUUGUGAUCAAUUUCACCAUCCAGGUUGUAAAUAAUCUCCCAAAACAAUACCAGGACCUUAUAAGUGCUCAACAAAUGAUGGUGAUUGUGAGAGAUGUUCGCCAAGGAAGUGUGAUCGUUGACUUUGAUCUGGUGACUGCUUUCGAUGUUAACCUAUCAACGUCUGAUGUCAGGACGAGUGUCAUCAAUGCCCUGAACUUAUCUACACUCAGAGUAGAUCUCAAUAGUACCCAUGUUCAAGAUGCAGAUCUUUGCCAAAGAGGAAUUUACGCAUGCUCACAAAAUGCCAGUUGUGUCACAGAGGGACCUUCAUAUUCAUGUAACUGUAAGGCGGGAUUCAAUGACAUAAACCCAGUGGUGCCUGGUACUGACUGCAUGAGCAUAUCAGUGGAUGCCACCACUACUGCAACAGCAUCAACAGUCUCGCCAAGUGAUGCCACCACUGCCUCAAUUACAUCAACAGUCUCUCCAAGUGAUGCCACCACUGACUCAACUCCAUCAACAGUCUCUCCAAGUGAUGCCACCACUGCCUCAACUACAUCAACAGUCUCGCCAAGUGAUGCCACUACUGCCUUAACUACAUCAACAGUCUCUCCAAGUGAUGCCACCACUGACUCAACUACAUCAACAGUCUUUCCAGGUGAUGCCAACACUGACUCAACUACAUCAGCCGACUCUUCAAGAGAUGCCUCCACUGCUAUAACUACAUCAACAGUCUCUCCUAAUUAUGCCACCAGUGCCUCAAAUGCAUCAAAAGUCUCUCCAAAUGAUACCACCGCUGACUCAGCUACAUUAACAGUCUUUCCAAGUGAUGCCACCACUGCCUCAACUUCAUCAAAGGUCUCUCCAAGUGAUGCCACCACUUACUCAAUUACAUCAACAGUCUCUCCAAGUGAAGCCACAACCUACUCAACUACAUCAACAGUCUCUCCAAGUGAGGCUAUCACUGACUCAACUACACCAACAGUCUCUCCAAGUGAUGCCACAACUUACUCAACUACAUCAACAGUCUCUCCAAGUGAAGUCAUUAGUCCCUUUACCUCGUUGACGUUCACGUCAAGUGAUAACUCCACUACCCGUCAGAGCUCAAUGGGAGACAUUGUUUCUGCAUCAGCCCCCACAGCAUCAACAGCUACUUCGAGUGUUGCCAUCUCUUCCUUAACUCUUUCCACAGUCUCCUCAAGUGAUGUAACCCCUCCCUCAAAUAUAUUGCCGGUCUCUUCAGUUGAUGCCAGAACUUCCCCUGCUCUGUCUAGAGUCACUUCAACUGAUACCACCACUUCAGGUGAUGUCAUCACUUCCUCUAUGACAUUGACAGUCACUUCAAGUGAUGCCUCUAGAAGAAAUCAGACCUCAAUGGGAGAAACUAUUACUGCAACAGCUCCCACAAUAUCAACAGUCCCUUCAACUGAUGCUCCCUCAAAUACCGUUGUUUUAAAUGAUGCCAAAACUCCUCAUAGUACAAUCACAGUCCCUUCAAGUGAUGCCAACAAUCCCUCAACUACAUCAACAGCCACUUCAAACGAUGCCUUAAUGUCUUCUAUUCUUUCUACAGUCACUUUAAGUGAUUCUACUACUUUAUCUACUUCAAUGACAGGCUCUACAAAUGAUGUUCCAGCAAACACUUCAGUGAAAAACACUACUGUCAGAUGUGUAUCAGGUGCUGUUGUAAAUGCCAUUAGGCUGGAAAAUGUUACUAGUCAGGUUAUCACUGCAAGUUGGAUGGGCAUCAACCUGAAUCAAGAAAUUCAGUACACAGUGAAGUUGGUGUCUUAUUCAUCCUCAAUCCAGAACGAGACCUCAGUCACCAAAGCUGUUUUCUUAGACCUUACUCCAGCAACCAUGUACACUCUCACUAUUGAGUACUUAUCCUGUGGCGUCAAGAAAAACAUUUCAAUAGACGUAGUCACAACUGGAAAGGUCUAUGAAUGUUCCACUCGAAUUCCGAGUGGAAAGUUUUUCUCGGAUUAUUUAAAUCAAUCCAGCAGCCUUUAUAAAGACUUUGUGAUCAAUUUCACCAUCCAGGUUGAGACUAAUCUCCCAAAACAAUACCAGGACCUUAUAAGUGCUCAACAAAUGAUGGUGAUUGUGAGAGAUGUUCGCCAAGGAAGUGUGAUCGUUGACUUUGAUCUGGUGACUGCUUUCGAUGUUAACCUAUCAACGUCUGAUGUCAGGACGAGUGUCAUCAAUGCCCUGAACUUAUCUACACUCAGAGUAGAUCUCAAUAGCACCCUUGUUCAAGAUGCAGAUCUUUGCCAAAGAGGAAAUUACGCAUGCUCACAAAAUGCCAGUUGUGUCACAGAGGGACCUUCAUAUUCAUGUAUCUGUCAGGCGGGAUUCUAUGACAUAAACCCAGUGGUGCCUGGUACUGACUGCAUGAUCAUAUCAGUGGAUGCCACCACUGACUCAACUGCAUCAACAGUCUCUCCAAGUGAUGCAACCACUGCCUUAACUACAUCAACAGUCUCUCCAAGUGAUGCCACCACUGCCUCAAUUACAUCAACAGUCUCUCCAAGUGAUGCCACCACUGCCUCAAUUACAUCAAUAGUCUCUCCAAGUGAUGCCACCACUGACUCAACUCCAUCAACAGUCUCUCCAAGUGAUGCCACCACUGCCUCAACUACAUCAACAGUCUCUCCAAGUUAUGCCACCACUGACUCAACUGCAUCAACAGUCUCUCCAAGUGAUGCCACCACUGCCUCAACUACAUCAACAGUCUCUCCAAGUGAUGCCACCACUGCCUUAACUACAUCAACAGUCUCUCCAAAGGAUGUCAUUAGUCCCUCUACCUCGUUGACGUUCACUUCAAGUGAUAGCUCCACUACCCUUCAGGCCUCAAUGGGAGACAUUGUUUCUGCAUCAGCCCCCACAACAUCAGCAGCUACUUCAAGUGUUGCCAUCUCUUCCUUUAGGAUAUCGGCAGUUUCCUCAAGUGAUGUCACCUAUCUCUCAACUAGAUUGCCAGUCUCUUCAAUUGAUGCCAGAACUUCCUCUGCACCUUCUAGAGUCAUUUCAACUGAUACCACCAUUUCAAGUGAUGUCAUCACUUCCUCUAAGAUUUCGACAGUCACCUCGAGUGAUUCUUCAUCUACCAGCCAAUCCUCACUGGGAAGCACUGUUUUGACAACAGUCUUCACCAAUGCAUCCAUAGAAACUAAAGUCCCAACAAUAUUAACAGUGAUUUCAACUGAUGCCACCAUUCCUCCUUCUACAUCAACAGUCUCUUCAAAUAGUGUUUCCUCAUCUACAUCAGUACAUCCAAUUAAUGUCAAAACAACUUCCCAGACAUCCUCUUCAAUUCAGAAUCUGUCGUAUACAUAUUCAGUAACUUCAAGUGAUGCCUCCAAUUCCAGUCAAACCUCAGUGAGAAGCAUUGAUUCAUCAACUGCCACAAUAAACACUAAUGCAUCCAUAGAGACUUUAGCCCCCUUGACAUCAACAGUGAAUUCAAGUGAUUCCAAUACUCCUUCUAUAUCUUCUACAGUAAUUUCCAAUGCCACAUCUCCCUAUUCGACAUUGAUAGUCACUGCAAGUUAUGCCACCACUCCCUUUGCUAGAUCACAAGUAACAAGUCUGGCCACCACUCUAAGACCAACUCCUUCCUCAUCCAGUGCUACUCCAGUGACGACAAGACCAGAAACAACCUCAACUGCAGUCCCAGUAAUCAAUUCUUCAGACACCUCACUUGGAACCGUAUCAAGAGACACCACUUUGGUGACUACUGUCCAAAAUACUUUUACAGGAUGUGGUGCUGUAGUGAAUGCCAUCCGGCUAGAAAAUAUCACUAGCCAGGUUAUCAUUGUGAGUUGGAUGGGAAUCAACCUGAAUCAAGAAAUUCAGUACAUAGUGAAGUUGGUGUCUUAUUCAUCCUCAAUCCAGAACGAGACCUCAGUCACCAAAGCUGUUUUCUCAGACCUUACUCCAGCAACCAUGUACACUCUCACUAUUGAGUACUUAUCCUGUGGCGUCAAGAAAAACAUUUCAAUAGACGUAGUCACAACUGGAAAGGUCUAUGAAUGUUCCACUCGAAUUCCGAGUGGAGAGUUUUUCUCUGAUUAUUUAAAUCAAUCCAGCAGCCUUUAUAAAGACUUUGUGAUCAAUUUCACCAUCCAGGUUGAGACUAAUCUCCCAAAACAAUACCAGGACCUUAUAAGUGCUCAACAAAUGAUGGUGAUUGUGAGAGAUGUUCGCCAAGGAAGUGUGAUCGUUGACUUUGAUCUGGUGACUGCUUUCGAUGUUAACCUAUCAACGUCUGAUGUCAGGACGAGUGUCAUCAAUGCCCUGAACUUAUCUACACUCAGAGUAGAUCUCAAUAGUACCCAUGUUCAAGAUGCAAAUCUCUGCCAACGAGGAAAUUACGCAUGCUCACAAAAUGCCAGUUGUGUCACAGAGGGACCUUCAUAUUCCUGUAAAUGUCAGGUGGGAUUGUACAGUGAAAACCCUGCCUUGCCUGGUACUGCCUGCAUGAUCACUUCAAGUAAUGCCACCACUCCCUCAACUUCAUUCACAGUCUCUUCAAGUGAUGCCAUAACUCUCCCUGCUCCAUCAACAGUCACUUCAGGAGUUCCCCAAAUAUCAAUGGCCCCAGCUGAAGGCUGGAAAGUAGCAACCAUAGUCCUUGGAGUUCUGCUGGGCUUCAUUUUGUUAGUUGUGGUUUUUGCUUUGAUCAUGACUGCACUGAGAUCAACUAACAGGAUCAUGUCAUACAACAUCCAUCAGCCAGAGGACAACAUACAGGUGGUGUCCACUGACUACAUACAUAAACACUAUUCUAACUGUGUGUAG